GCCUGGUGGGAUGACACGUGCCUAUAGUCCCAGCUACCAGGGAGGCUGAGGCUGGAGGAUCGCUUAAGUCCAGGAGUUCUGGACUGCAGUGCACUAUGCUGAUCGGGAGUCUGCAAUAAGGUCGGCAUCAAUAUGGUGGCCUCCUGGGAGUGAGGGACCACCAUGUUGCCUAAGGAGGGGUGAACCGGCCCAGGUCAGAAGCGGAGCAGGUCAAAACUCCUGUGCUGAUCAGAAUAAAUUUUACUUACAGAGAUGAAAUUUGGGACUAGAUUGCUCCAUGAUUUAUCAACAU
rnacentral:SRP_RNA from 1 species